rnacentral:rRNA from 1 species
UACGUAGGGUGCAAGCGUUUAAUCGGAAUUACUGGGCGUAAAGCGUGCGCAGGCGGUUAUAUAAGACAGAUGUGAAAUCCCCGGGCUCAACCUGGGAACUGCCUUUGUGACUGCAUAGCUAGAGUACGGUAGAGGGGGAUGGAAUUCCGCGUGUAGCAGUGAAAUGCGUAGAUAUCAGGAGGAACACCGGUGGCGAAGGCGCCUUCCUGGCCUAAGACUGACGCUGGAGGUGCGAAAGCGUGGGGAGCAAACGGG